CCUACGGGAGGCAGCAGUGAGGAAUAUUGGUCAAUGGGCGGAAGCCUGAACCAGCCAAGUCGCGUGAGGGAAGACUGCCCUAUGGGUUGUAAACCUCUUUUGUCAGGGAGCAAUUGGCGCUUCGUGUAGCGUUAUCGAGAGUAGCUGACGAAAAAGCAUCGGCUAACUCCGUGCCAGCAGCCGCGGUAAUACGGAGGAUGCGAGCGUUAUCCGGAUUUAUUGGGUGUAAAGGGUGCGUAGGCGGAAUGCCAAGUCAGCGGUAAAAUCGCGGGGAUCAACCUCGCUCCGCCGUUGAUACUGGCGUUCUUGAGUGAGCGAGAAGUAUGCGGAAUGCGAGGUGUAGCGGUGAAAUGCAUAGAUAUCACGCAGAACUCCGAUUGCGAAGGCAGCAUACCGGCGCCCAACUGACGCUGAAGCACGAAAGCGUGGGUAGCGAACAGGAUUAGAUACCCUGGUAGUC
rnacentral:rRNA from 1 species